UGAAAGGGUUCCGCUCUCAUUCAGCAUGAGUUUAGCCCUAGUUAAUGGCCUCUUUAAAAAUAAAGCAUUACUAGAGAUGAAGGCUCAAUUCUCUUGAUGGGCAUUUGGAAUUUUGUGGAGACACAGCCAUCAUGUCAAGAAUCUUUCCAAUCAGCCUAAAGCCGUUCAGAGUGUGGACACCAGUGCUCCUCUGGGCCGAAGCUUGGGCGGUGCAGUUGGUCUGAAAUGCAGUGAUAACCUGAUAGAAGGCGACGCCCAUCCAGAGUUGCCCGUGCUACCGACUCCGUGCUAAAUGCCACAGCUGGAUGAACACUUUAAGUCAGAGAGGUGCCAUAAUGGGAAGCUGAAUGCAGAGCUGUCAAUCAUAGAGGAACAUUUGGAAACGCAGCAGCCACAUAAAAGCGUUCCCUGACUUACCCCCUCUGCUCGACGAAGGAGGGAAGGAAGCGCAAAGAAAUCGUCUUGCAAGCAGUUUGGUGGCAUCGAGAGGAACACAGCGGACUGAGUCAUCAGAUGUAUAGGGUGCCCCCUCACAGACCCCAUAGAGCGCCUUCCUGUCCCCAAAACUGAGCCUCAGGAAAGCAUCCUUGCUGCAGAGGUGCUGCAGGUUCUCCUGCCUCAUGACCUUGGGGUUUCAACAGUAAGGCCAUGCCAUGAAGACAUAGUCUAUUCACUUCUAGAUGCUAUAUGCAAUUCUGGGCUCCUUGCAAAAGAAUCCACAGAGCCUGACAGGUGAGGCGGGGGCUGGGGAAGUGUAGGAUGGACAUUUGAGAAUACAAGAUAGUUUGUCAUAUGCAGACGGUACAGGGCUUUGGGGGGACUGGGAGAUGGUGGAACCCUGAUGGUUUUUCUGUCCUUGCUCUUUAGCCACGUUAGGGGGCCAGUCUCGAGACGGUCUCAUAAAUUCUCAAAAUAAGCUCAGUUUGAUGGGCUACAAUUUAUUCAAAAAUAAGACCUCUGGCCUAAAAUACUAGCAUUCAAAAAUGGAGCGGUAAGUGAGGGCACAGCACUGCCAUUGAGCAAGGUUGCAGGGACUGACUUCUGUGUGGCUGGCCAGUGCUGGUGGUUUCUGCCCCCACUAAGAGCAAGACUUAGAAUUAAGGGAUUUCAGAGCUGG
rnacentral:lncRNA from 13 species